UUGAUCCUGGCUCACGACGAACGAUGGCGGCGCGCCUAACACAUGCAAGUCGAACGAGAGAUGAGGAGCUUGCUCUUCAAAUCGCGUGGCGAACGGGUGAGUAACGCGUGAGGAACCUGCCUCAAAGAGGGGGACAACAGUUGGAAACGACUGCUAAUACCGCAUAAGCCCACGGCUCGGCAUCGAGCAGAGGGAAAAGGAGCAAUCCGCUUCGAGAUGGCCUCGCGUCCGAUUAGCUAGUUGGUGAGGUAACGGCCCACCAAGGCGACGAUCGGUAGCCGGACUGAGAGGUUGAACGGCCACAUUGGGACUGAGACACGGCCCAGACUCCUACGGGAGGCAGCAGUGGGGAAUAUUGCACAAUGGGGGAAACCCUGAUGCAGCGACGCCGCGUGGAGGAAGAAGGUCUUCGGAUUGUAAACUCCUGUUGUUGAGGAAGAUAAUGACGGUACUCAACAAGGAAGUGACGGCUAACUACGUGCCAGCAGCCGCGGUAAAACGUAGGUCACAAGCGUUGUCCGGAAUUACUGGGUGUAAAGGGAGCGCAGGCGGGAGAACAAGUUGGAAGUGAAAUCCAUGGGCUCAACCCAUGAACUGCUUUCAAAACUGUUUUUCUUGAGUAGUGCAGAGGUAGGCGGAAUUCCCGGUGUAGCGGUGGAAUGCGUAGAUAUCGGGAGGAACACCAGUGGCGAAGGCGGCCUACUGGGCACCAACUGACGCUGAGGCUCGAAAGUGUGGGUAGCANACAGGAUUAGAUACCCUGGUAGUCCACACCGUAAACGAUGAUUACUAGGUGUUGGAGGAUUGACCCCUUCAGUGCCGCAGUUAACACAAUAAGUAAUCCACCUGGGGAGUACGACCGCAAGGUUGAAACUCAAAGGAAUUGACGGGGGCCCGCACAAGCAGUGGAGUAUGUGGUUUAAUUCGACGCAACGCGAAGAACCUUACCAAGUCUUGACAUCCCAUGACGAACAUAGAAAUAUGUUUUCUCUUCGGAGCAAGGAGACAGGUGGUGCAUGGUUGUCGUCAGCUCGUGUCGUGAGAUGUUGGGUUAAGUCCCGCAACGAGCGCAACCCUUAUGGUCAGUUACUACGCAAGAGGACUCUGGCCAGACUGCCGUUGACAAAACGGAGGAAGGUGGGGAUGACGUCAAAUCGUCAUGCCCUUUAUGACUUGGGCUACACACGUACUACAAUGGCGUUAAACAAAGAGAAGCAAGACCGCGAGGUGGAGCAAAACUCAGAAACAACGUCCCAGUUCGGACUGCAGGCUGCAACUCGCCUGCACGAAGUCGGAAUUGCUAGUAAUCGUGGAUCAGCAUGCCACGGUGAAUACGUUCNCCGGGCAUAGUACACACGGCCCGUCA
rnacentral:rRNA from 1 species